rnacentral:lncRNA from 1 species
UUUAUUUUUAGAGUGUUUUCUAUACAAUUUAUACACGCUUCUAGGUAACAUUUUUUACAUUUAGCUCUAUUGUCUUUGCUGGGAUACCAAUUACAUAUACGACAUCUAUUGCUGUCUAGGCCUUUGUUUCUUUGAAAUUCAUGUACACAUUCUUGAGUAACAUUUAUUAAAUUAUUGAUUACUAGGUUGUUUAAAUCUAAAUCCUCUAUCUCUUGUCCUAAUUCAUUAACUAAGUUAUCUUCUUCUGAUUCUGAAGAAUCAUAUUUUGAAUUAUCUUUGUCAUUUAUAUCAAUACUUAUUAUUGAGUAUAUACUUUCUGUAUCUGACAUGUAUUCAUCUACGUUUAAUAAAGUUUCUUGGAAAUCUUCUAUUAGUUGAGAAUUUCUAGUUCUAUUAUUAUUUCUCUUAGGACA